CGCAAUGGGCGAAAGCCUGACAGAGCAAUACCGCGUGAGGGAUGAAGACUUACUGAGUUGUAAACCUCGGUACCUUAAGGGAGAAGAUAUGACGGUACUUAAGGUGGAAAGCAUCGGCUAACUCCGUGCCAGCAGCCGCGGUAAGACGGGGGAUGCAAGUGUUAUCCGGAUUUACUGGGCGUAAAGCGUCUGCAGGUGGUUUCUUAAGUCUACUGUUAAAUCUUGAGGCUCAACCUCAAAUCUGCAGUAGAAACUAGGAGACUUGAGUAUAGUAGGGGUAGAGGGAAUUUCCAGUGGAGCGGUGAAAUGCGUAGAUAUUGGAAAGAACACCGAUGGCGAAGGCACUCUACUGGGCUAUUCCUGACACUCAGAGACGAAAGCUA
rnacentral:rRNA from 1 species